AGUGAACGCUGGCGGUAGGCCUAACACAUGCAAGUCGAACGGCAGCACAGUAAGAGCUUGCUCUUACGGGUGGCGAGUGGCGGACGGGUGAGGAAUACAUCGGAAUCUACUUUUUCGUGGGGGAUAACGUAGGGAAACUUACGCUAAUACCGCAUACGACCUACGGGUGAAAGCAGGGGAUCUUCGGACCUUGCGCGAUUGAAUGAGCCGAUGUCGGAGUAGCUAGUUGGCGGGGUAAAGGCCCACCAAGGCGACGAUCCGUAGCUGGUGUGAGAGGCUGAUCAGCCACCCUGGAACUGAGACACGGUCCAGACUCCUACGGGAGGCAGCAGUGGGGAAUAUUGGACAAUGGGCGCAAGCCUGAUCCAGUCAUACCGCGUGGGUGAAGAAGGCCUUCGGGUUGUAAAGCCCUUUUGUUGGGAAAGAAAAGCAGCAGGUUAAUACCCCGCUGUUCUGACGGUACCCAAAGAAUAAGCACCGGCUAACUUCGUG
rnacentral:rRNA from 1 species